rnacentral:rRNA from 1 species
CCUACGGGAGGCAGCAGUGAGGAAUAUUGGUCAAUGGGCGCGAGCCUGAACCAGCCAAGUAGCGUGAAGGAUGACUGCCCUACGGGUUGUAAACUUCUUUUAUCAAGGAAUAAAGUGCGGCACGUGUGCCUUUUUGUGUGUACUUUAUGAAUAAGGAUCGGCUAACUCCGUGCCAGCAGCCGCGGUAAUACGGAGGAUCCGAGCGUUAUCCGGAUUUAUUGGGUUUAAAGGGAGCGUAGAUGGGUUGUUAAGUCAGUCGUGAAAGUUUGGGGCUCAACCGUAAACUUGCCGUUGAUACUGGGAGCCUUGAGUACAGUUGAGGUAGGCGGAAUUCGCGGUGUAGCGGUGAAAUGCUUAGAUAUCACGAAGAACUCCGAUUGCGAAGGCAGCUUACCAAGCUGCAACUGACAUUGAUGCACGAAAGUGUGGGUAUCGAACAGGAUUAGAUACCCGAGUAGUC